GCCAAGAGAAAGACAUACAAGGCUGCUGGUUAAAUCAUUAAUGUGUACCUGGGAGGGGGGAAUCCAACCCUGAUCAUCCCACAAAUCCAGGAUGCUGGGUCUUUGCUAUUGCGUCUAUAUUUCUGAAGCCACACCCUGGGUUCACAGCAUGAGACACCUUGACAGCACGGUCAUGGCUCCUCAACAGUGUUUCAGAAUUCUCCGGAAGACAAAGAAUGGAUCUGAGUUCAAAGACUACCAAAGCAAAUACACAUAAAAACUGAUCAUGUACUUAUUAAGAA